GCGCCCCUAGCUCAACGGUCAGAGCGCCGUCCUUUUAAGUCGGGAGAUCCGAGUUCGAAUCUCGGGGGGCGCA
rnacentral:tRNA from 1 species